GAGAUACAAGAGAAAGUCUUUAUGCAGUCCCAAGUCAGAGGACUGGGCGCGCACGCCCAACGUGGCAAAAACGCCCCGUUUUAUUAACUUGUGCUUACGACGUCGUCUGGCUUGAUGGACGGACGCCUUCCUCUUCGAAGCGAGACCUCUUUGAUCCGAGACCUCUUCGAAGCGAGACCUAACCUCUGCCCAGACUCUGCCCAGAAGAGGUUGCCGAGAACUCUAAUUUCACUCCGUCCUCGAACGAGUUGAUAUUUGCCGAGAACUCUAAUUUCACUCCGUCCUCAAACGAGUUGAUUUCUUCCUCCUCGAGACCGAUGCUUUGCCCAGAAGAGUAGCCCUAACUUCACUCCGUCGGUGGUGGAGAUUCGCGUCGCGUUGCCGAGAACUCUAAUAAAUUCGAAGUCCCAGCCCUAACGUCGUGGUGAACGUCGUGGUGCGAGGUGGUGGAGGAGUUGAUUCCGCCGAAAAGAGUAAUUUUUGAGCCCAGCCCUAACUUCACUCCGUCUGAGCCCUAAUAGUGCAAUGUCGUCAUCUCAGUCAUCAUCUUCCUUGGGUGAUCGUUAUUUGAGAAAUGCUCCAAUAUGUUUAUGUGGGUCGAUUGCACGUCUCAAAAUCUCGAACACUUCGAGAAAUCCAAGAAGACCUUUUUUCACUUGUCCAAAGUACAAUAAAGAGGGAAAACCAUACUGCAACUACUUUAUAUGGGCAGAUUUUGAACAACGAAAUGAAAGUCCCUUUGCUAGGGAAAGAGAACUCCAGCAAAAAGAGGAAGAAGUCGAAAAAAGAGAGGAAGAAGUCGAAAAAAGAGAGGAAGAAGUCCAAAGGAGAGAGAAUGAACUCCAACAUGCACGCAUGCUACUUUGCGUGUAUUGGGCAUUGACAAUACUAAUCUCAUGUUGUUUGCUACGAUCAACGACAAUUGAAGAUUAAGUUUGUGUUAGAGACUUUUUGGAUGUUGUCAACUUGUUGUGUUCUAGUGUAGCCAGACUGGUUACUUGUAAACCUUCUGCAUUAAUAUGCAGUCUUUUGUGCGAAGUUGUAAUAUGCAGUUUCUAUUUCCAACUGUACCAGACUUAUGUUGCAAUCAAUAUUACGUAUUUUCCAUCAAAUUUGUUGCUG